CGGCAUUUCAAAGCCCAACCAGCUAGGAUAAAGCCUUCAGUGAGCAAGUUCCCUAACAGCUCAACUGCUUGGGAGUCCCUGGGAGUCCACUCUGGAAAGAGGCAGAUCAGCUGGGCUUCUCCAACUUCCUGCCAUCCUGGAUUCAACCAAGAGGACCUGGGGCAGCGUGCUCUACAUGCAGUUCCUGACCCUCCCUGUAGUGCCUGCGACAACCUUCCGGUUCGCCCCCAGCCUGCUGCACCAGCCUGUGAGCUCUCUGGGACAAGGAAUAGACUUUUUCCAUCAUCUCUUCACUGC